AGUGAACGCUGGCGGUAGGCCUAACACAUGCAAGUCGAACGGCAGCACAGUAAGAGCUUGCUCUUACGGGUGGCGAGUGGCGGACGGGUGAGGAAUACAUCGGAAUCUACUUUUUCGUGGGGGAUAACGUAGGGAAACUUACGCUAAUACCGCAUACGACCUACGGGUGAAAGCAGGGGAUCUUCGGACCUUGCGCGAUUGAAUGAGCCGAUGUCGGAUUAGCUAGUUGGCGGGGUAAAGGCCCACCAAGGCGACGAUCCGUAGCUGGUCUGAGAGGAUGAUCAGACACACUGGAACUGAGACACGGUCCAGACUCCUACGGGAGGCAGCAGUGGGGAAUAUUGGACAAUGGGCGCAAGCCUGAUCCAGCCAUACCGCGUGGGUGAAGAAGGCCUUCGGGUUGGAAAGCCCUUUUGUUGGGAAAGAAAAGCAGCAGGUUAAUACCCCGCUGUUCUGACGGUACCCAAAGAAUAAGCACCGGCUAACUUCGUG
rnacentral:rRNA from 1 species